rnacentral:rRNA from 1 species
UACGUAGGGUGCAAGCGUUAAUCGGAAUUACUGGGCGUAAAGCGUGCGCAGGCGGUUUUGUAAGUCUGUCGUGAAAUCCCCGGGCUCAACCUGGGAAUUGCGAUGGAGACUGCAAGGCUGGAGUCUGGCAGAGGGGGGUAGAAUUCCACGUGUAGCAGUGAAAUGCGUAGAGAUGUGGAGGAACACCGAUGGCGAAGGCAGCCCCCCUGGGCCAGCACUGACGCUCAUGCACGAAAGCGUGGGGAGCAAACAGG